AGCAGUCAUCGUCAAAUCUCCGGUUUAUUGGUCGCCUCGGAACCGAUUCUGACGAGCAGUGAUUAAUGAUCCAUUCCGUGAUUGCGGAACAAUCACGUUGGCAAGGCGCGAUCGAGCAGCCCGCGAAUNNNNNNNNNGAUCGACUGCACCGUAGAGAUUGCCGUGGUUAGCAUCGAGCCGCGUCGCCGCGAACAGUUCGGCAUGCUUCGGCGAGACCUCAUUGAGCGCAGCGGUUGCCGCGACCAG
rnacentral:misc_RNA from 1 species